rnacentral:rRNA from 1 species
GAUGAACGCUGGCGGCGUGCCUAAUACAUGCAAGUCGAGCGAACGGACGAGAAGCUUGCUUCUCUGAUGUUAGCGGCGGACGGGUGAGUAACACGUGGAUAACCUACCUAUAAGACUGGGAUAACUUCGGGAAACCGGAGCUAAUACCGGAUAAUAUUUUGAACCGCAUGGUUCAAAAGUGAAAGACGAUCUUGCUGUCACUUAUAGAUGGAUCCGCGCUGCAUUAGCUAGUUGGUAAGGUAACGGCUUACCAAGGCAACGAUGCAUAGCCGACCUGAGAGGAUGAUCAGCCACACUAGAACUGAGACACGGUCCAGACUCCUACGGGAGGCAGCAGUAGGGAAACUUCGACAAUGGGCGAGAGCCUGACGGGUCAACGCCGAGUGAGUGAUGAAGGUCUUCGGAUCGUGAUACUCUGUUAUUAGGGAAGAACAUAUGUGUAAGUAACUUGGCACAACUUGAAGGUACCUAAUGAAAAAGCCACGGCUAACUACGUG